rnacentral:ncRNA from 1 species
GCUCCUCUCAGGUUCUGGCGCGGCCCUCGGAAUGACGCCAGGACAUUUAAUGCCGACACAUUCUUUCGUGUGUCGGCUUUUUUU